CCUACGGGUGGCAGCAGUGGGGAAUAUUGCACAAUGGGGGAAACCCUGAUGCAGCGACGCCGCGUGAGUGAAGAAGUAAUUCGGUAUGUAAAGCUCUAUCAGCAGGGAAGAAAAUGACGGUACCUGAGUAAGAAGCCCCGGCUAACGACGGGCCAGCAGCCGCGGUAAGACGGAGGGGGCAAGCGUUAUCCGGAGUGACGGGGUGUAAAGGGAGCGUAGACGGCAGGGCAAGGCUGGAGUGAAAGGCGGGGGCCCCACCCCCGGACUGCUCUGGAAACUGUACGGCUGGAGUGCAGGAGAGGUAAGUGGAAUUCCUAGUGUAGCGGUUAAAUGCGUAGAUAUUAGGAGGCACACCAGUGGCGAAGGCGGCUUACUGGACUGUAACUGACGUUGAGGCUCGAAAGCGUGGGGAGCAAACAGGAUUAGCUCCCCCAGUAGUC
rnacentral:rRNA from 1 species